rnacentral:lncRNA from 1 species
UUGAUUUACAGUUCAAUGAAGACCACUUGAAGUUGUUAUCCCUAAAGUUAAACAACAAUUCAUCAACAAUGAGCUAUAUUGCUGAUGUUGGUUAUAUCACUGUGUUGUUGAUUUACAGUUCAAUGAAGACCACUUUAAUGGAUCUUUACUUUAAAUUUUCCACUAUAAGUGGCCAGUGAGGUCAUUUGGUAGUUCAAUGAAAAUUUUCACAGUAGGUAAACUCCUUUUGACAAAUUUCAUGAAAUAAAAUAGUAUCUUUGCUUUAUAGGUAAAAGCAAAUGACCCCAAGCAACAAUUAACGGGCUUCUAAGCUAAAUCCUCAUCAUAGGCUAAGAAAAAUUCAACAGAAUGAACACUCCUCAACAAGUAAGACAGGACACCGUUCACAAACUUUUGGUCUUUUAUAUAAAUUAGACAUCAGUGGAUCUGUACUUUAAAUUUUCCACUAUAAGUGGCCAGUGAGGUCAUUUGGUAGUUCAAUGAAAAUUUUCAGAGUAGAUAAACUCCUUUUGACAAAUUUCAUGAAACAAAAUAGUACCUUUGCUUUAUAGGUAAAAGUAAAUGACCCUAAGCAACAAUUAACGGGUUUCCAAGCUAAAUGCUCAUCAUAGGCUAAGAAAAUAUUCAACAGAAUGAACACUCCUCAACAAGUAAGACAUGACACCGUUCACAAACUUUUGGUCUUU